UAGCCGUAAACGAUACUCGCUAGGUGUCGGCCACGGUGCGACCGUUGUCGGUGCCGUAGGGAAGCCGUGAAGCGAGCCACCUGGGAAGUACGGCCGCAAGGCUGAAACUUAAAGGAAUUGGCGGGGGGAGCACCACAACGGGUGGAGCUUGCGGUUUAAUUGGAUUCAACGCCGGAAAUCUUACCGGGACCGACAGCAACAUGAAGGCCAAGCUGAAGACUUUGCCGGAUUAGCUGAGAGGAGGUGCAUGGCGUAGUCGUGU
rnacentral:rRNA from 1 species